rnacentral:rRNA from 1 species
CCUACGGGUGGCAGCAGUGAGGAAUAUUGGUCAAUGGGCGCGAGCCUGAUCCAGCCAAGUAGCGUGAAGGAUGAAUGCCCUCCGGGUUGUAAACUUCUUCUACAAAGGAAUAAAGUGAGGCACGUGUGCCUUUUUGUACGUACUUUAUGAAUAAGGAUCGGCUAACUCCGUGCCAGCAGCCGCGGUAAUACGGAGGGUCCGAGCGUUAAUCGGAAUUACUGGGCGUAAAGCGCGCGUAGGCGGUAUGGCAAGUCAAGGGUGAAAGCCCCGCGCUCAACGUGGGAACUGCCUUUGAAACUGGCAAACUGGAGUGCGUGAGAGGAUAGUGGAAUUCCAGGUGUAGGAGUGAAAUCCGUAGAUAUCUGGAGGAACAUCAGUGGCGAAGGCGACUAUCUGGCACAUAACUGACGCUGAGGAGCGAAAGCGUGGGGAGCAAACAGGAUUAGAUACCCUAGUAGUC